GACGAACGCUGGCGGUAUGCUUAACACAUGCAAGUCGAACGAGAAGUCUUUUAUUGAACCUUCGGGGGAUAUAAGAGACAGACAGUGGCGAACGGGUGAGUAACGCGUGGGCAACCUACCUAUCGGAGCGGGAUAGCCUCGAGAAAUCGGGAGUAAAACCGCAUAACACGGAUAUAUCGCAUGAUGAAUCCGUCAAAACUCCGGUGCCGAUAGAUGGGCCCGCGUCUGAUUAGCUAGUUGGUAAGGUAAGGGCUUACCAAGGCAACGAUCAGUAGCCGGUCUGAGAGGGCGAACGGCCACACUGGAACUGAGACACGGUCCAGACUCCUACGGGAGGCAGCAGUGGGGAAUAUUGCGCAAUGGGGGCAACCCUGACGCAGCAAUACCGCGUGAGUGAAGAAAG
rnacentral:rRNA from 1 species